rnacentral:rRNA from 1 species
GACGAACGCUGGCGGCGCGCCUAACACAUGCAAGUCGAGCGAGAGAUGAGGAGCUUGCUCUUCAAAUCGAGUGGCGAACGGGUGAGUAGCGCGUGAGGAACCUGCCUCAAAGAGGGGGACAACAGUUGGAAACGACUGCUAAUACCGCAUAAGCCCACGGCUCGGCAUCGAGCAGAGGGAAAAGGAGCAAUCCGCUUUGAGAUGGCCUCGCGUCCGAUUAGCUAGUUGGUGAGGUAACGGCCCACCAAGGCGACGAUCGGUAGCCGGACUGAGAGGUUGAACGGCCACAUUGGGACUGAGACACGGCCCAGACUCCUACGGGAGGCAGCAGUGGGGAAUAUUGCACAAUGGGGGAAACCCUGAUGCAGCGACGCCGCGUGGAGGAAGAAGGUCUUCGGAUUGUAAACUCCUGUUGUUGAGGAAGAUAAUGACGGUACUCAACAAGGAAGUGACGGCUAACUACGUGCCAGCAGCCGCGGUAAAACGUAGGUCACAAGCGUUGUCCGGAAUUACUGGGUGUAAAGGGAGCGCAGGCGGGAGAACAAGUUGGAAGUGAAAUCCAUGGGCUCAACCCAUGAACUGCUUUCAAAACUGUUUUUCUUGAGUAGUGCAGAGGUAGGCGGAAUUCCCGGUGUAGCGGUGGAAUGCGUAGAUAUCGGGAGGAACACCAGUGGCGAAGGCGGCCUACUGGGCACCAACUGACGCUGAGGCUCGAAAGUGUGGGUAGCAAACAGGAUUAGAUACCCUGGUAGUCCACACCGUAAACGAUGAUUACUAGGUGUUGGAGGAUUGACCCCUUCAGUGCCGCAGUUAACACAAUAAGUAAUCCACCUGGGGAGUACGACCGCAAGGUUGAAACUCAAAGGAAUUGACGGGGGCCCGCACAAGCAGUGGAGUAUGUGGUUUAAUUCGACGCAACGCGAAGAACCUUACCAAGUCUUGACAUCCCUUGACGAACAUAGAAAUAUGUUUUCUCUUCGGAGCAAGGAGACAGGUGGUGCAUGGUUGUCGUCAGCUCGUGUCGUGAGAUGUUGGGUUAAGUCCCGCAACGAGCGCAACCCUUAUGGUCAGUUACUACGCAAGAGGACUCUGGCCAGACUGCCGUUGACAAAACGGAGGAAGGUGGGGAUGACGUCAAAUCAUCAUGCCCUUUAUGACUUGGGCUACACACGUACUACAAUGGCGUUAAACAAAGAGAAGCAAGACCGCGAGGUGGAGCAAAACUCAGAAACAACGUCCCAGUUCGGACUGCAGGCUGCAACUCGCCUGCACGAAGUCGGAAUUGCUAGUAAUCGUGGAUCAGCAUGCCACGGUGAGUACGUUCCCGGGCCU